CCUACGGGUGGCAGCAGUGGGGAAUAUUGCACAAUGGGGGAAACCCUGAUGCAGCGACGCCGCGUGAGGGAAGAAGGAACUCGGGAUGUAAAGCUCUAUCAGCAGGGAAGAAAAAGACGGUACUUGAGUAAGAAGAACCGGCUAACUACGAGCCAGCAGCCGCGGCAAUACGUAGGGGGCAAGCGUUAUCCGGAUUUACUGGGUGUAAAGGGAGCGUAGACGGCAGUGCAAGUCUGGAGUGAAAGGCGGGGGCUCAACCCCCGGACUGCUCUUGAAACUGUACGGCUUGAGUGCAGGAGAGGUAGGUGGAAUUCCUAGUGUAGCGGUGAAAUGCGUAGAUAUUAGGAGGAACACCAGUGGCGAAGGCGGCUUGCUGGACUGUAACUGACGUUGAGGCUCGAAAGCGUGGGGAGCAAACAGGAUUAGAUACCCUAGUAGUC
rnacentral:rRNA from 1 species